rnacentral:piRNA from 1 species
UAUAGAGAAAGAAAUAAGGGGACCCGGG